rnacentral:lncRNA from 1 species
GAAGGUAAAGCAGGAGGUGAGAUGUCAGGGUUGAAAGGAGGACUGGAAAUUGGAUAUGAAGAGGGGGAAACUGGAACAGAAGGUGAAGGUGGAGAGGAAGAGAUGGGAAUACAGAAAUCUGGCUCAGAAAGGGAAUGCUCAAGAGGAGGAACAGAAUGAAAAAGAGAAGGAAAAACAGGAGGAGCAGAGGUGACAGAAGAAGCAGAUUUGAAAGGAAAAGAAGUUUC